rnacentral:misc_RNA from 1 species
UUGCAACAUAAAUUAAAGAAAAGCCCAAAACAAAGAAACCCAUUUUAAUCUCUCCUUCAAAACAGGCUUCCAAUUUCUGGGCAGAGUUUUCUUUGUGCAGCAAGCCACUGCUCACUGAAUAGUAUCAAAGCAAGCUAGAGAGAACUCAGAGAAGAAAAGAAAGAUGAAAUAGACUAGUAAUAAUAAUAAUUUGAAGCACAAAAGAGAGUGGGAAACAUUUCUCCAAGCUUCUAUGAGCACUGAGCCGAGUGAAAGAUGGACUUUUUUAAAGUGGUAUAGGAAGUUGUGCAGAAAGAAGUGGCCGUUGUCCAAAAAAAUUUAAAUAAAG